GCCCGCUCCACUUAGAUAUUACCUUUAUCGGGGCCCCUACGGACUGUUCCUGCUGGAAUUUCCAGGAAGCAUGGUUGUUAGGCUCCAAUGAUCUCCUUAGAUCCUGCGGAAAUUAGAGAAUUAGCUCAAAGUUUAGAUGAACAAAUCGAAGGCGGUACUGUUACUAAACUUCAACCAAGCUGCUCGGAAUUUGCAACUGAGAUUUCUAAUAGUAGCAAAAAGCCAGUGCAUUGUGAAAUUCCAAAGAUCAACUAUAACAGUUCUGUCCGGCAAUUUUUAGACCAAACUGUGGUCCCUUUACUUUUAGAUGGACUAACUUUAAUUAUUAAAGAAAAACCGGAAAAUCCAAUAGAAUUUUUGGGUCACUUCCUUAUAGCUAAUAAAGAUUACAGACACACAAAA